AGAAAGUUCCAGUCAGAAUUUUGAGGGACUCAGGAGAUUUGCAUACCUUUGUGAGUGAGGAAAUCCUGUCUUUUUCUCCAGGUUCAUACACAGCUGUGUUCCAGUUAAAAGGAUGGGUCUGCAAACUGUUUUUUGUGCCUGCACAUAAAAUGUUUUUGUCCUGUGAUUUGAAACAGGGAGACGUGGAGGCUGGUGUUCGUCCGGUACUGCCAGUUUAAGGAGCUGACAUCAUUUUGUGUGGCCAGAUGAUAGCUGGUGAAAGAACAAAAACAGGACCAAUCUCUGACGGAACAUGUACGACUCGGUUUUACCUACUUCUCAGUGGAGCUGCAGCUGGUUGUGAAAAUCAUAGAGUUCCUCCUGGAUGUCUGUUGGACACGGGCAGUCCUCACCCAUACUGAAGGUAUGUGUACAGCCAACAUCUGCAGGGGCUCCACACACUGGACCACCCAGCCGUGUCUCUCAUUGACCCUUGCCGUUUCCACCU